GAUGGGCUGGACAGUGGGACAGCCUGUGUGCACAUUUUGUGGCAAGUAGGAGUGACACACCAUCUCUGGGAGGCACCAUGGUUCCUGCCAAACCCGACCCCAGAACUCUGCCCCUGAGGUGGUUUUACCAAAACCCAAAACCCAGAACUGUGGUUGUGGCUCAGGGGUCAGCACCUGCUAGCACCAGGACACUACUGGGAGGCUGGGACCUGAUCGAAGCCCAUAGUGUCUGUGGCCUGAGGACAGGGUGUGUUGGGGCCAUAAGGCCUGGCCGCCAAUGGCCACUGGGUCCUAGGGCCUCAGCCCCAGUGUUUGCCCUUCCCUGGCUCCUUCUGAUUCAGUCCCAUUAGGGCCCUGCAGCCCAAGACCCAGCACCCAAGGUCCCCUCCAGGAAUCCUGGCGGCUUGGCUUCCUUUAUCAUGUUUCAUUUGAGAGCAAAAAUGUCAGAUCGGAUGCACAGAAAAAUGGCCCAAAUUGUUUAAUGACUAGAAGAAAUCUAGGAGCAGCAAGAAUGUAAUAUGAAAAGGGGAGGGCCUCCAUGACCGGUGUCUGCAGAGCCAGGGGUACAGGCACCCAGUGUUGUGGCCUGGCACCACCGGCCUCUCAGAGGGUGGGUGGCACACUGUCCUUACCCAGAGGACAGCAGGCCUGAUCACCAGCUUUUCUACCUGUCCCUGUAAGCAUCACGUUGCUAGAAGAAAAUCUCAUGCCAGAGCUUGGACCAUCCCUAGCUCAGAGGUUAGGGGUUGUCUCUUGGUGAUCUAAAUGAAAAAAUAGGUCCAGAUCAGAGUUCCUGACGCAGAGCACUCAUCCACUCUUUGAAUCGUGGGAGGGGAGGCCUGGUUUUAGGUAAACCUAACCUCUUUGAGGAACCACAGAGCCCAAGACUGGAAACCUUCAGAAUCUUCCGGCCCCCAACCCUCCCUGGGGACCCCUGUGGCCUGUCUCACCAGAGCACUCUUCUGUCUGUAGAUGUCUCAGCUGCUCUACAAGGGAGUCCCAUUUCAGGUGUGGGGCUGGGCAUGGUCACUUCUGCUGGAUGUCUAGAAGGUGGAAACUAAGGACCUAGGAAAAUACCAGAUACAGCCUUUCCACCCUCAUCCAGAGCAGGACAAACAGGCCAGGCGGUGUCAGGAGCCCAGGUCUCCAGCUGGAGGGAACGUCAACCCUGCAGUGGGAGCAGGGGCCCAUCGCACAUCCUAGGCACAGAUGCUAAUGUAGGCACCGCAGGUAAGCUGGGCUUGGUACCCUUCCCUGGCUUCAGAAAGAAGCCAACAAGGAGCGUUUUGCAGAAUGAGACCUUUCUUUCCAGAAGCACUGCUGACUGUAGGUGGUUGCCCUUUGUGGCAGUGAGCAUUUUGUCCAUUCUGAGGUUGGAUUGGUUUCUCCUUUUGGCCUUGCCCUGCCCUACAGACCAUAAAGGAGAACAGCAAGAGGCCCCCAGCAAACAUCCACAUAUGGCCCUGGACAUCAGCCACAUUCUGAGAUGUCAUGUUCUGGGAGGGCUAAGGCAUCAAGUAAGGCCUAUGGGGCUGGAGGAUCCCAGGCAAGGUGUGGCAAUCCAGAGCCAUGGAGGCUUCCCAUGGGAAUUGGGAGGUCCCAAGGCAGAGUCAGAAGUUCCACAGGAGGAGUCACAGAGUCACCAAGGGCUCUCCUGGCCCAGGGAACAGUCAACACCAUGGACUGAACACCUGCUGGGCUCCAAGCCCUGGGCCAGGCUGCCCAUGUGGGGCCAGGAGGCAGCUCAGAGUGGGAGGCAGAGAGAGAAGUGUGCUCAGAGGGCACCUGUAUCUGGAUGUAAUGUGGUCCUGAAACUCUGGCUGGGAAGUGCUUCCAGGGUAUCAUAUGUGUUAUGCAGCUACUUCCUCUCCCCAGCCUUACCCCGUAGGAAUUGCAGUGACUAUGUUGCCACCAUCUUGGAGCUCCAUGCCCUUAUAGUGCAAUGGCACCAGCAGAUCUGCCUGUGCAUGGACUUCCUGUACUACCUCACUCCUGAGGGGUGAUGCUUCUGCAGGGCCUAAGACCUGGUGCACAACUUUAGACACCAUCAUCCUGGAGCAGCACUGCACCCUCAGUAGCCAGGGUGUUGAUGUCCUCAAGGCUAAGUCCACAUUCAAGACUUUGGACUUCACUGAUGCACUUGUGCUGAGCAAGCUUAUCUGAUGAUCUCCUGGGAUCUCUACUAGGAUGCUGGCAGCCCAGCCAGCUGGUCUGGCCCUGGAUGUGCCUUCAGGGGCUGGUUAUGCUUCAUGACCUGUGUUGUGGUGAGUGGUAAGCAGCACCUGCUUCUAGCUUCACUGUUGGGCCAGAUUUCAUCCCCACCGUGGCUCUUCAUUGCAGCUGCUUUCUGCUCCCUCCAUGGACCCUGCGUGGAAUUGCCCCAUGUUUCUGUUUGGCCACCACUGAGGAAGGAAGCAUGAAGGACGCACAGGUCAGGCCAUUCUGUUGCCCACCUCGUGCUGGGUCUUUACUCCUGGGAUGGCUUCAGGGGCAGCUCCUUUUCCAUGGCUCCCCUCACCCCACAUCUCUCAGGUUGCUGCUCAAAGGUCACCUCUUGGAGGGGUCUGUCCCUGUCACUGCGUUUGGAACAGCUCCCUCAGUUUCUUUCUAGCUCAUCUCACUCUGGUAAUGUCUUUCAUUACCACCACCAUCUGACCUGGUCUUACGACCUGUUAGCUUCCUUCAUCAGACAUGAGCACCAGGAUGGCAGGGGCCUCAUCUGUCUUGUUCCUCCUGUGGCCUGGGUCCUAGCACCAUGUCUGGUACAGUGUAGGUGCUCAAGGGAUGUUUACUGUUGAAGAACUGUCUACCUGGGAGAGGCUACUGUUAGUCUUAGCUGCACUAUUUGGUAAAUCCCUUGCUGUUUUGCAGAUCCUGGUCAGAAGAAAACAUUCCAUGGGAACUCGGGCUGUGAGAAGCAUCCUAACCACCUGACUGCAGAAACUUCAUUAACACAUCCUGCUGGGCAAAGGCCCAACAGCCUGACUUCAGGAACAUCCUUAUCAUCUACUGGGCAGCAAGCUAUACUGUCCAGAGCCCUCCCUCCCAGCCCCAUGAUUACCCCAGCCUGUGAGUGGCAGUGGGCACUGACACUAAGCUGGUUUCCCCCUCCACAGGGUUUUGCUAGUAAUAAAUCUGUGUUGCUGUUGAA